rnacentral:rRNA from 1 species
UUAAGCGACUAAGCGUACACGGUGGAUGCCCUGGCAGUCAGAGGCGAUGAAGGACGUGCUAAUCUGCGAUAAGCGUCGGUGAGGUGAUAUGAACCGUUAUAACCGGCGAUUUCCGAAUGGGGAAACCCAGUGUGUUUCGACACACUAUCAUUAACUGAAUCCAUAGGUUAAUGAGGCGAACCGGGGGAACUGAAACAUCUAAGUACCCCGAGGAAAAGAAAUCAACCGAGAUUCCCCCAGUAGCGGCGAGCGAACGGGGAGGAGCCCAGAGCCUGAAUCAGUGUGUGUGUUAGUGGAAGCGUCUGGAAAGGCGCGCGAUACAGGGUGACAGCCCCGUACACAAAAAUGCACAUACUGUGAGCUCGAUGAGUAGGGCGGGACACGUGGUAUCCUGUCUGAAUAUGGGGGGACCAUCCUCCAAGGCUAAAUACUCCUGACUGACCGAUAGUGAACCAGUACCGUGAGGGAAAGGCGAAAAGAACCCCGGCGAGGGGAGUGAAAAAGAACCUGAAACCGUGUACGUACAAGCAGUGGGAGCCUCUUAAUGGGGUGACUGCGUACCUUUUGUAUAAUGGGUCAGCGACUUAUAUUCUGUAGCAAGGUUAACCGAAUAGGGGAGCCGAAGGGAAACCGAGUCUUAACUGGGCGUUAAGUUGCAGGGUAUAGACCCGAAACCCGGUGAUCUAGCCAUGGGCAGGUUGAAGGUUGGGUAACACUAACUGGAGGACCGAACCGACUAAUGUUGAAAAAUUAGCGGAUGACUUGUGGCUGGGGGUGAAAGGCCAAUCAAACCGGGAGAUAGCUGGUUCUCCCCGAAAGCUAUUUAGGUAGCGCCUCGUGAAUUCAUCUCCGGGGGUAGAGCACUGUUUCGGCAAGGGGGUCAUCCCGACUUACCAACCCGAUGCAAACUGCGAAUACCGGAGAAUGUUAUCACGGGAGACACACGGCGGGUGCUAACGUCCGUCGUGAAGAGGGAAACAACCCAGACCGCCAGCUAAGGUCCCAAAGUCAUGGUUAAGUGGGAAACGAUGUGGGAAGGCCCAGACAGCCAGGAUGUUGGCUUAGAAGCAGCCAUCAUUUAAAGAAAGCGUAAUAGCUCACUGGUCGAGUCGGCCUGCGCGGAAGAUGUAACGGGGCUAAACCAUGCACCGAAGCUGCGGCAGCGACGCUUAUGCGUUGUUGGGUAGGGGAGCGUUCUGUAAGCCUGUGAAGGUGUGCUGUGAGGCAUGCUGGAGGUAUCAGAAGUGCGAAUGCUGACAUAAGUAACGAUAAAGCGGGUGAAAAGCCCGCUCGCCGGAAGACCAAGGGUUCCUGUCCAACGUUAAUCGGGGCAGGGUGAGUCGACCCCUAAGGCGAGGCCGAAAGGCGUAGUCGAUGGGAAACAGGUUAAUAUUCCUGUACUUGGUGUUACUGCGAAGGGGGGACGGAGAAGGCUAUGUUGGCCGGGCGACGGUUGUCCCGGUUUAAGCGUGUAGGCUGAUUUUCCAGGCAAAUCCGGAAAAUCAAGGCUGAGGCGUGAUGACGAGGCACUACGGUGCUGAAGCAACAAAUGCCCUGCUUCCAGGAAAAGCCUCUAAGCAUCAGGUAACAUCAAAUCGUACCCCAAACCGACACAGGUGGUCAGGUAGAGAAUACCAAGGCGCUUGAGAGAACUCGGGUGAAGGAACUAGGCAAAAUGGUGCCGUAACUUCGGGAGAAGGCACGCUGAUAUGUAGGUGAAGCGACUUGCGGAUGGAGCUGAAAUCAGUCGAAGAUACCAGCUGGCUGCAACUGUUUAUUAAAAACACAGCACUGUGCAAACACGAAAGUGGACGUAUACGGUGUGACGCCUGCCCGGUGCCGGAAGGUUAAUUGAUGGGGUUAGCGGCAACGCGAAGCUCUUGAUCGAAGCCCCGGUAAACGGCGGCCGUAACUAUAACGGUCCUAAGGUAGCGAAAUUCCUUGUCGGGUAAGUUCCGACCUGCACGAAUGGCGUAAUGAUGGCCAGGCUGUCUCCACCCGAGACUCAGUGAAAUUGAACUCGCUGUGAAGAUGCAGUGUACCCGCGGCAAGACGGAAAGACCCCGUGAACCUUUACUAUAGCUUGACACUGAACAUUGAGCCUUGAUGUGUAGGAUAGGUGGGAGGCUUUGAAGUGUGGACGCCAGUCUGCAUGGAGCCGACCUUGAAAUACCACCCUUUAAUGUUUGAUGUUCUAACGUGGGCCCCUAAUCGGGGUUGCGGACAGUGUCUGGUGGGUAGUUUGACUGGGGCGGUCUCCUCCUAAAGAGUAACGGAGGAGCACGAAGGUUGGCUAAUCCUGGUCGGACAUCAGGAGGUUAGUGCAAUGGCAUAAGCCAGCUUGACUGCGAGCGUGACGGCGCGAGCAGGUGCGAAAGCAGGUCAUAGUGAUCCGGUGGUUCUGAAUGGAAGGGCCAUCGCUCAACGGAUAAAAGGUACUCCGGGGAUAACAGGCUGAUACCGCCCAAGAGUUCAUAUCGACGGCGGUGUUUGGCACCUCGAUGUCGGCUCAUCACAUCCUGGGGCUGAAGUAGGUCCCAAGGGUAUGGCUGUUCGCCAUUUAAAGUGGUACGCGAGCUGGGUUUAGAACGUCGUGAGACAGUUCGGUCCCUAUCUGCCGUGGGCGCUGGAGAACUGAGGGGGGCUGCUCCUAGUACGAGAGGACCGGAGUGGACGCAUCACUGGUGUUCGGGUUGUCAUGCCAAUGGCACUGCCCGGUAGCUAAAUGCGGAAGAGAUAAGUGCUGAAAGCAUCUAAGCACGAAACUUGCCCCGAGAUGAGUUCUCCCUGAGACUUUGAGUCUCCUGAAGGAACGUUGAAGACGACGACGUUGAUAGGCCGGGUGUGUAAGCGCAGCGAUGCGUUGAGCUAACCGGUACUAAUGAACCGUGAGGCUUAACCUU